UAAGUACUCCCUCCGUCCGGAAAUACUUGUCAUCAAAAUGAAUAAAAGGGGAUGUAUCUAGAUGUAUUUUAGUUCUAGAUACAUCCCUUUUUAUCCAUUUUGAUGACAAGUAUUUUCGGACGGAGGGAGUAAAUA
rnacentral:pre_miRNA from 1 species